GACGAACGCUGGCGGCGUGCUUAACACAUGCAAGUCGAACGGAAAGGCCCUUCGGGGUACUCGAGUGGCGAACGGGUGAGUAACACGUGGGUGAUCUGCCCUGCACUUUGGGAUAAGCCUGGGAAACUGGGUCUAAUACCGAAUAGGACCACGCGCUUCAUGGUGUGUGGUGGAAAGCUUUUGCGGUGUGGGAUGGGCCCGCGGCCUAUCAGCUUGUUGGUGGGGUAAUGGCCUACCAAGGCGACGACGGGUAGCCGGCCUGAGAGGGUGACCGGCCACACUGGGACUGAGAUACGGCCCAGACUCCUACGGGAGGCAGCAGUGGGGAAUAUUGAACAAUGGGCGCAAGCCUGAUGCAGCGACGCCGCGUGAGGGAUGACGGCCUUCGGGUUGUAAACCUCUUUCAAUAGGGACGAAGCGAAAGUGACGGUACCUAUAGAAGAAGCACCGGCCAACUACGUG
rnacentral:rRNA from 1 species